ACUCGAUAAAGAACGUAUACAAACGCUAACGAAAAAAAAAAUGUUCUCGUUUCUUGUAAAAAUGUUCCGAAUAUGAAUUGGUGAAUGGUACUAGAACACUCUUCUACUGGAUCGUACGUACUACAAGAUCAACUUAUUCUCCUUCCGAUUCCUAUUUCCUAGUGCCACUUUCUGGAGCAUAGCAACACCCCACUACUAGAUUCCCCUAAUUUGCCGAGUUUAUACGAAACUCGUGAGAACCCAGAAUCAACUUGGCGACGUAUUCGCCCUGUUCUAUACUCGGCGAACAAGACUUGGGUAGACACGUGUCAGAAUUCAUUAAAUUGGCUGAGUACUUAUUAUCAGGAAUUUUGCAAACAUUUCAACACGCUUAGCCGAUCGAGUUACAUCUGACUGAGUUAUUAACGGAAAUGUGACGUGACACUAAGCUCUAUAGAGUUCUAUGGAGUUUAAUUCGGCAGAAGUCCUUAUGUGAACUCGAUCAAGCUGAGGUCGUCGGAAGUCUCGGCCGCAUAACACGGAUGUCAUAUAGGGCACUACCAACAGUUGUGACGAACCUAUCGCACUUCAGCUUGGAGUAGUCGUGCGCCUCCCAGCAAGGUACGUAUAUACCCAGCAUAAUGUAGAUGAAGUCCUCUUUAUCCCUCCUUGCAUUGGGUUACAUACGAGUCAGCAGG
rnacentral:lncRNA from 1 species